AAUAGAUACCCAGGUAGUCCACGCCGUAAACGAUGAGUGCUAAGUGUUAGAGGGUUUCCGCCCUUUAGUGCUGAAGUUAACGCAUUAAGCACUCCGCCUGGGGAGUACGGCCGCAAGGCUGAAACUCAAAGGAAUUGACGGGGGCCCGCACAAGCGGUGGAGCAUGUGGUUUAAUUCGAAGCAACGCGAAGAACCUUACCAGGUCUUGACAUCCUCUGACAACCCUAGAGAUAGGGCUUCUCCUUCGGGAGCAGAGUGACAGGUGGUGCAUGGUUGUCGUCAGCUCGUGUCGUGAGAUGUUGGGUUAAGUCCCGCAACGAGCGCAACCCUUGAUCUUAGUUGCCAGCAUUCAGUUGGGCACUCUAAGGUGACUGCCGGUGACAAACCGGAGGAAGGUGGGGAUGACGUCAAAUCAUCAUGCCCCUUAUGACCUGGGCUACACACGUGCUACAAUGGAUGGUACAAAGAGCUGCGAACCCGCGAGGGUAAGCGAAUCUCAUAAAGCCAUUCUCAGUUCGGAUUGU
rnacentral:rRNA from 1 species